CACUAAGACCAACUAGGACGGUCAUCAGUAUACGAACAGAGUUUCUGAUUCGGUACGUACAGAUUCAUAUUUACAAUAUGUCACUUUGACGCUUACCGAGUAAUUUUGUCAAUAUCAAAUAAACUAUUAGCUUAAAUGUACCUAUUGGCACCAUUAAGAUCUCGAUUAUGUACGACCAAUCGGACUGAAAACUCCUUCCCGACAUAAAUAAUCUAUUGUUUGGUUAUAAGGAACACAGAUAACACUACUGAGUAUUAUUGACUAGCUUAGCGUACCUGAAACAGGCGCUAUUUAGUAAGUUCAAAGACGGGGUAGUCGAAAGCUACCAUCACAUAACCUGAUGGUACCGAAAUUGCCCAUUGCCUCCUAAUCCCAAGCUAAGGCCUCUCCCUCGGACUCUUUGCCGAUGGUGUAGAUUCCUUCCGUCGUCCGCGCAUUUAAUGGGUUAGGACUGAGUCCCUCCAUCACUGUUCUUUAUUGCCUGGCUUCGGAUACAAAGCCCUAACGUUACUCAACUUAAAUUUGGGGAAAUGCUCCUAGUUAACCUCCCGUUCAGACCA
rnacentral:rRNA from 1 species